rnacentral:misc_RNA from 1 species
AGGGGUGGGGCUGCGGGAGGCCCUGGAGCGCGGCGGUGAUGGCGGGGCCGGUGAAGGACCGCGAGGCCUUCCAGAGGCUCAACUUCCUGUACCAGGACCCCGAGAACCAGGCGCUGGCGAGGUUUUACUGCUACACUGAGAGGACCAUUGCGAAGCGGCUCGUCUUGCGGCGGGAUCCCUCGGUGAAGAGGACUCUCUGUCGAGGCUGCUCUUCCCUCCUCGUCCCGGGCCUCACCUGCACCCACCGCCAGAGACGUGAGUGCUCCAACGGAGGUGGAAGACUGCGGAGCAUUGGGGGCGCGGAGGGGGGCGGGGUGGGGGGCGGGCACUGGAGGCCAACAGCGCCUUUCUCACUGUAGAUGGAUGUUGGGUGUGGGAUUCGCAGGAGUCUUCCUUCUUCGGGUUUGGAUUAAGUUCCUAACGCCACUUGCACAAACUAGGGUUUGGGCUCGGCUGUUUUUUUUUUUUUUCUUCCAGUGUGGGCAAUAAAUAAUAACUUUUAAGAGGCAACCCCACCCAUGCACAAUAAUAGAUGUUGUUCGGCUUUGUGGAGGACGAUUCCCAUCACCAUUCAUUUAUUAAGCAAAUACUUAUUUUCUAAAAUGUGUCAGGCUGCAGGGGACAGCGCUGGACCGUACAGACCUGCCUAACAUGCCAGCGCAGCCAACGCUUC